GACGAACGCUGGCGGCGUGCUUAACACAUGCAAGUCGAACGCUGAAGCACCAGCUUGCUGGUGUGGAUGAGUGGCGAACGGGUGAGUAAUACGUGAGUAACCUGCCCUUGACUCUGGGAUAAGCCCGGGAAACUGGGUCUAAUACUGGAUGCUACAUGUCACCGCAUGGUGGUGUGUGGAAAGGGUUUACUGGUCUUGGAUGGGCUCAUGGCCUAUCAGCUUGUUGGUGAGGUAAUGGCUCACCAAGGCGACGACGGGUAGCCGGCCUGAGAGGGUGACCGGCCACACUGGGACUGAGACACGGCCCAGACUCCUACGGGAGGCAGCAGUGGGGAAUAUUGCACAAUGGGCGAAAGCCUGAUGCAGCGACGCCGCGUGAGGGAUGACGGCCUUCGGGUUGUAAACCUCUUUCAGCAGGGAAGAAGCCACAAGUGACGGUACCUGCAGAAGAAGCGCCGGCUAACUACGUG
rnacentral:rRNA from 1 species